AACUCACGGAUGGAAUGGUUGCAGAACCGCAGGUCUCACUCUCUUUUCUUUAACUCACGAACAGAAAAAAAAAAAAAACAGAGCAAAGACUUCGGCUCUCCCUCACUCUCACUCUCAGCUUGCCGGGUGCAGCUCUCUCACUUUCUUGGUCGAUGAUCACGAGGCAGAGGCUGGAGAGGGAGUGUUUGGUUGCGGACUGGGGUGAGUUGGUGCAGAGAGGAAAUGGAAAU
rnacentral:lncRNA from 1 species